rnacentral:rRNA from 1 species
CGCUGGCGGCGUGCUUAACACAUGCAAGUCGAACGAGGAUAUACCAGAGGAGAGCUUCGGCAGGAAUCGGGUAUAUUCGAGUGGCGGACGGGUGAGUAACGCGUGAGCAACCUGCCCAGACAGGGGGAUAACACUUGGAAACAGGUGCUAAUACCGCAUAAGACCACGGUAUCACAUGGUAGUGGGGUAAAAGGAGCAAUCCGGUUUGGGGUGGGCUCGCGUCCGAUUAGAUAGUUGGUGAGGUAACGGCCCACCAAGUCGACGAUCGGUAGCCGACCUGAGAGGGUGAUCGGCCACAUUGGAACUGAGAGACGGUCCAAACUCCUACGGGAGGCAGCAGUGGGGAAUAUUGGGCAAUGGGCGAAAGCCUGACCCAGCAACGCCGCGUGAGUGAAGAAGGCCUUCGGGUUGUAAAGCUCUGUUAUAGUUGACGAAGGAAGUGACGGUAGGCUAUAAGGAAGCCCCGGCUAACUACGUGCCAGCCGCUGC